rnacentral:rRNA from 1 species
GUGGGGAAUAUUGGGCAAUGGGGGAAACCCUGACCCAGCGACGCCGCGUGAGGGAAGACGGCCUUCGGGUUGUAAACCUCUUUUGUACGGGAAGAAGGAAGUGACGGUACUGUACGAAUAAGUCCCGGCUAACUACGUGCCAGCAGCCGCGGUAAUACGUAGGGGACGAGCGUUGUCCGGAAUUACUGGGCGUAAAGGGCGCGCAGGCUGUGCUGCAAGUCAGCUGUGAAAUGUAUGGGCUUAACCCGGGCAUGCGGUUGAGACUGCAGUGCUGGAGUGCUGUAGAGGCAAGUGGAAUUCCCAGUGUCGCGGUGAAAUGCGUAGAUAUUGGGAAGAACAGCGGUUGCGAAGGCGACUUGCUGGGCAGCAACUGACGCUGAGGCGCGAAAGCCAGGGGAGCAAACGGGAUUAGAAACCCUUGUAGUCC